CUGGCGGCGCGCCUAAACAUGCAAGUCGAACGAGAAAGCGAGGGCAACCUCGUGAGUAAAGUGGCGUACGGGUGAGUAACACGUGGAUGAUCUACCUUCUAGUGGGGGAUAACCCUGGGAAACCGGGGCUAAUACCGCAUCAGCCCGAGAGGGGAAAGCAGCAAUGCGCUGGAAGAGGAGUCCGCGGCCGAUUAGCUAGUUGGUAGGGUAAAGGCCUACCAAGGCUACGAUCGGUAGCCGGCCUGAGAGGGCACACGGCCACACUGGCACUGAAACACGGGCCAGACUCCUACGGGAGGCAGCAGUGGGGAAUCUUGCACAAUGGGGGCAACCCUGAUGCAGCGACGCCGCGUGAGCGAUGAAGCCCUUCGGGGUGUAAAGCUCUUUCGGCAGGGAAGAUGAUGACGGUACCUGCAGAAGCAGCUGCGGCUAACUACGUGCCAGCAGCCGCGGUAAUACGUAGGCAGCAAGCGUUGUUCGGAGUUACUGGGCGUAAAGGGUGUGUAGGCGGUUCUCUAAGUUUGGUGUGAAAUCUCCCGGCUCAACUGGGAGGGUGCGCCGAAAACUGGAGGGCUAAAGUGCGGGAUGG
rnacentral:rRNA from 1 species